GAUGAACGCUGGCGGCGUGCCUAAUACUUGCAAGUCGAGCGAACAGACGAGGAGCUUGCUCCUCUGACGUUAGCGGCGGACGGGUGAGUAACACGUGGAUAACCUACCUAUAAGACUGGGAUAACUUCGGGAAACCGGAGCUAAUACCGGAUAAUAUAUUGAACCGCAUGGUUCAAUAGUGAAAGACGGUUUUGCUGUCACUUAUAGAUGGAUCCGCGCCGCAUUAGCUAGUUGGUAAGGUAACGGCUUACCAAGGCGACGAUGCGUAGCCGACCUGAGAGGGUGAUCGGCCACACUGGAACUGAGACACGGUCCAGACUCCUACGGGAGGCAGCAGUAGGGAAUCUUCCGCAAUGGGCGAAAGCCUGACGGAGCAACGCCGCGUGAGUGAUGAAGGUCUUCGGAUCGUAAAACUCUGUUAUUAGGGAAGAACAAAUGUGUAAGUAACUAUGCACGUCUUGACGGUACCUAAUCAGAAAGCCACGGCUAACUACGUG
rnacentral:rRNA from 1 species